rnacentral:lncRNA from 1 species
GUACAGCACAGAGUACAUUCUUUUUAGUAAUCAAAUAACAACCAAAAAAAGCUAGUUGAAAGAAAAACAGGUUUUUCCAGAUUUGUUAGAUCAUUCUCUUUACUUAAUAAUUAACACAGACCUUUGUUAAAUUUCUACUAAGAAAUCCAUGUAUAAUGUUUGUUUAAUGAAAAAUAAAAUGAUUUUUAGCAAGUUUUUCUCAACUUCAGAAGAUUAAUUUUAUGGGAGGAGAUCUGGAGUCUUUUGUUUUUAAUCCUAGUUUCCCUGAAACACCAGUUAGGUGUUCAUGAACAUACUCAUGUGUUCGCCUUUCUUCCUCAACGUAAUUGUCAGUAAUCUGGCAGAAGCAGAGCCUAAUCUCUGCCAAACAAAAUUCCAGUAUUUAACAAGAAAAUACAUUUUUUAUGCCUUAGCCAAAAAUGCAAAGCCCCUUAUAUAAGCUAAUGGAAUUAAAAAAGAAAUCCUGAGUACCUAGUAACGGGAAAAAGCUAAAGAAACAUUUCCAAGUCACUUAUCUGAAAAAAUUAAAAAUAAACAACACACACACAAAGAAAACUGACUCUCAAAAGUUCACAUAACAAAUAGACAUUAAUAAUUUUGUAUGUAAAAUACGUUUUUGGAACAGUAAGGUCUAUUGUAAGAAAAAUUAAAUUUUGAAGCAAGAUCACUGUUUAAAUAUCUCAAUUUAUUAUAUCCUAUUCUUUCUUUGCAAAUUUAAAUUCUGGGAAAUUACAAGAAGAAAAUAACAGUUUUGAUUUCUCUUGGGUUCUUAUUCUUUGUUUCUGUUUUCUUUUUUAGAGAUAGGGUCUUAGUAUGUUGCCCAGGCUGGAGUACACUGACUAUUCAUAGGGCCAGUAAUAGUGUACUGUAGCCUUGACCGCCCAGGCUCAAGCAAUCUUCCUGCUUCAGCUUUCUGAGUAGCUGGGAAUACAGGUGCACCAACACUCCAGGGACCCUUAUUUACUUUUACCCAGUAUUCUUCCAAUAUUUAGUCAUAAGCCUACAAUUAACAAGUAUAGGCCCAGGCCAGGCGUGUUGGCUCACGCCUGUAAUCCCAGCACUUUGGGAGGCCGAGGAGGGCAUGAGCCACCAUGUCUGGCCAGUUUUCUUUGGUUCUUCUGUGGCACAAUUAUUUUUAAAAUUUCAGAACUAAAAAAGAAUUCAGAACUACUAAUUAUUAUGAAUUAGAGAGGCUGACUCCUUCCAACUCUGAAAUUCUAGCAUUCCAAAUUCAAGGCUCACGUUACACUGAAGCUUUGGCUCUCUGUAGAAAUGCAGGUCUGUUCUGUACAAUCUCAACUUGUUGCUGUUGGGCUAGCACUAAUGAGUGAGCCUUCAAAUACUUAAGUGGAGGAUAGUGUAAUGGCAAUGAGCAAUGUGGGGCUAUGUUGAACUCAGCAGGGAAAGGGUUGCGGAAAAAUUCCC